GCUUAGAGUUUGAUCCUGGCUCAGGAUGAACGCUGGCGGCGUGCUUAACACAUGCAAGUCGAACGGUCUCUUCGGAGAUAGUGGCGGACGGGUGAGUAACGCGUGAGAAUCUGCCUUUAGGUUCGGGACAACAGUUGGAAACGACUGCUAAUACCGAAUGUGUCGCAAGAUGAAAGAUUUAUUGCCUAAAGAUGAGCUCGCGUCUGAUUAGCUACUUGGUGGGGUAAAAGCGUACCAAGGCGACGAUCAGUAGCUGGUCUGAGAGGAUGAUCAGCCACACUGGGACUGAGACACGGCCCAGACUCCUACGGGAGGCAGCAGUGGGGAAUUUUCCGCAAUGGGCGAAAGCCUGACGGAGCAACGCCGCGUGAGGGAGGAAGGCUUUUGGGUUGUAAACCUCUUUUCUCAAGGAAGAUAAUGACGGUACUUGAGGAAUCAGCAUCGGCUAACUCCGUGCCAGCAGCCGCGGUAAUACGGAGGAUGCAAGCGUUAUCCGGAAUAAUUGGGCGUAAAGCGUUCGUAGGUGGUUUUGCAAGUCUGCUGUUAAAGCGUGUAGCUUAACUACAUAAUGGCGGUGGAAACUGCAAAACUAGAGUGCGUUCGGGGCAGAGGGAAUUCCUGGUGUAGCGGUGAAAUGCGUAGAUAUCAGGAAGAACACCGGUGGCGAAGGCGCUCUGCUAGGCCGCAACUGACACUGAGGGACGAAAGCUAGGGGGGGCGAAUGGGAUUAGAUACCCCAGUAGUC
rnacentral:rRNA from 1 species